CAUAUACUUUGUUAUCCUAACGACGCCCCUGUUUGUUUUUGUUAUGAAUCUCAGUGAUAUUUGUUGUUCGCAGUAACCUUACAUAAUCCAAUUGCUGAAUUCCGUAAACAUCGAUCAAUCGAUCGCUGGACAAGAUCGGUUCGUUCCCUGGCCUAUUGAUUUGGUCGUUAUUGAUUGGCAGAAGUGAGAUGCAGCUCCGGACGGGGGAAAUUUUGAUUCCGUUCCGUGAAUUGCAUUUAACUGGCGCUUCUUCAAUCAAGGCGGUAAAUUUCCAUGCGUUCUUAAUGGCAGCAAAGGGGGCCGAGAGCAGGGCACGUGCCAGGAAAUUCCACAUUUCGCUGAAAGCCAAAUUCCAAAACGCAACCGGAUCCUUGAACUCGAUUAAACCACUUCCUGCUGGAACGGAAUGCCCUGUUUUCUUUUUACUUAUUUUUCUCUCAGUGUAGUAUAAUUGUUGUGACGCAGUCUCAGUGGGAAAAAUAAAUAAAUAAAUGAACUAACUUUUGAA